GCUAGUAUGGCUUAGUGGUUAGAGUAUUGGACUAUGACUCUGGAGACCAGGGUUCGAAUCACUGCUGAGCC